rnacentral:lncRNA from 1 species
GAGGAAGUGAGCUGCCAUGUACUAGGCCACGUGGCAAGGGCCUGGUUGGGGACCUCCAGGAGUUGAGAGCAUCCUCUGGACAACAUGGAAAAAGAAAAUGAAAAUGGUGACCUCAGCCCUAUAGCUAGAAGGAAUUGAAUCCUGUCAACAACGAUCCUCAUCACUCAAUGCAGAUGUUACUUUAAGACAUUCUGGAGCAGCGUCAUGUGCAGGAGAAAAUAGUAUCAUCUCAGCCUUCUAUGAAAUCAAGGCAAUAUUUGAUUGCAGCUGGAUAUCCAGUGACCAAGAGACCCUGCACA